CCCUUAGAUGUCCUGGGCCGCACGCGCGUUACACUGAUGCACUCAACGAGCUUAUAACCUCGGCCGAGAGGCCUGGGCAAUCUUGUUAACGUGCAUCGUGAUAGGGAUAGAUUAUUGAAAUUAUUAAUCUUGAACGAGGAAUUCCUAGUAAACGCAGAUCAUCAAUCUGCAUUGAUUACGUCCCUGCCCUUUGUACACACCGCCCGUCGCACCUACCGAUUGGAUGGUCCGGUGAAGCCUCGGGAUUGUGGUUCUUGCCGCUUUAUUGUGGCGUGACCGCGAGAACUUGUCUAAACCUUAUCAUCUAGAGGAAGGUGAAGUCGUAACA
rnacentral:rRNA from 1 species